CCUACGUGAGGCUGCAGUGGGGAAUAUUGGACAAUGGGCGAAAGCCUGAUCCAGCCAUGCCGCGUGUGUGAAGAAGGCCUUCGGGUUGUAAAGCACUUUCAGUGGGGACGAAAGCCUUGGGGCUAAUACCCUCGAGGAAGGACAUCACCCACAGAAGAAGCACCGGCUAACUCCUUGCCAGCAGCCGCGGUAAUACGGAGGGUGCGAGCGUUAAUCGGAAUUACUGGGCGUAAAGCGCGCGUAGGCGGUCUGAUAAGCCGGUUGUGAAAGCCCCGGGCUCAACCUGGGAACGGCAUCCGGAACUGUCAGGCUAGAGUGCAGGAGAGGAAGGUAGAAUUCCCGGUGUAGCGGUGAAAUGCGUAGAGAUCGGGAGGAAUACCAGUGGCGAAGGCGGCCUUCUGGACUGACACUGACGCUGAGGUGCGAAAGCGUGGGUAGCAAACAGGAUUAGAUACCCUUGUAGUC
rnacentral:rRNA from 1 species